GAUGAAGAACGCAGUGAAAUGCGAUACGUAAUGUGAAUUGCAGAAUUCAGUGAAUCAUCGAAUCUUUGAACGCACAUUGCGCCCUCUGGUAUUCCGGGGGGCAUGCCUGUUCGAGCGUCAUUAUAACCACUCAAGCUCUCGCUUGGUAUUGGGGUUCGCGGUUCCGCGGCCCCUAAAAUCAGUGGCGGUGCCUGUCGGCUCUACGCGUAGUAAUACUCCUCGCGAUUGAGUCCGGUAGGUCUACUUGCCAGCAACCCCCAAUUUUUACAGGUUGACCUCGGAUCAGGUAGGGAUACCCGCUGAACUUAAGCAUAUCAAUAAGCGGAGGA
rnacentral:misc_RNA from 1 species